AAUGGGAGCAAUGUAGCACCUCCUUCAGAAGGUCAUGGUGAGGGUUCAGUGCGUUACUGCAGGUGCGCUCACAGGAGUAGCUGGUGCUUAGUAGGUGUUCGAUACACAUUAGCCAUCACCAUCAUCAUCACCAUCAUCACCAUCAUCACCAUCAUCACCACCAUCACCACUAUCACUGUCAUCACCACCAUCAUCACCACCAUCAUCACCACCAUCAUCACCACCAUCACCACCACCAUCACCACCACCAUCAGCAUCAUCACCACCAUCAUCACCACCAUCAUCACCACCAUCACCACCACCAUCACCACCACCAUCAUCACCACCACCACCACCAUCACCACCACCACUGUCAUCACCACCAUCACCACUAUCACUGUCAUCACCACAUCACCACCAUCAUCACCACCAAUCACCACCACCAUCACCACCACCAUCACCACCACCAUCACCACCACCAUCACCACCAUCACCACCACCAUCACCACCAUCACCAUCACCACCAUCACCACCAUCACCACCAUCACCACCAUCACCACCAUCAUCACCAUCACCACCAUCACCACCACCACCAUCACCACCACCCCCAUCACCAUCACCCCCAUCACCCCCAUCACCCCCAUCACCACCAUCACCAUCAUCAUCAUCAUCACCACCAUCAACAUCACCACCAUCAUCAUCAUCACCACCAUCACCACCAUCACCACCAUCACCAUCACCACCAUCACCACCAUCACCACCACCAUCACCACCACCACCAUCACCACCANUCACCCCCAUCACCCCCAUCACCCCCAUCACCAUCAUCACCAUCAUCAUCAUCACCACCAUCAACAUCAACAUCACCAUCACCACCACCAUCAUCAUCAUCACCACCAUCAUCAUCAUCAUCACCACCAUCACCAUCAUCACCAUCAUCACCAUCAUCACCAUCACCACCAUCACCACCAUCACCAUCACCACCACCACCACCACCACCAUCACCACCACCAUCACCACCAUCACCACAAUCACCAUCAUCAUCACUACCAUCACCAGCAUCACUACCAACACCACUAUCACCAUCACUGUCCUCAUCACCAUCAUCGUCAUCACCAUCAUCACCGUCACCACCAUUGUCACCAUCACUUGUGA
rnacentral:lncRNA from 1 species